GAUGAACGCUAGCGGCGUGCCUGAGAUAUGCAAGUCGAGCGCCCCAUUUGACCGCAAGGUUGGAUGGGAGCGGCGGACGGCUGAGUAAUAUACAGGAAUCUGCCCCUAAGUAGAGGAUAGCCCCGAGAAAUCGGGGGUAAUACUUUAUGGUUUCACCUUUUUGGUGAAUAAAGAGCUUAACCGCUCGCUAAGGGAUGAGCCUGUAUCCUAUCAGGUUGUUGGCGAGGUAAAAGCUCACCAAGCCUAUGACGGGUAGCUAAUCUGGGAGGAUGGUUAGCCAGAGGGGGACUGAGACACGGCCCCCACUCCUACGGGAGGCAGCAAUCAGGAAUAGUCGGCAAUGGACGAAAGUCUGACCGCGCGACGCCGCGUGUAGGAUUAAGCUUUUCGGAGUGUAAACUACUGUGGUAGGGGAAGAAGUCCCGACGUAAGUCGGGGUUGACGGUACCCUGCUAGAAAGGAGCCGCUAACUGCGUGCCAGAAGCGUCGGUAAUACGUGGGCUCCAAGCGUUAUCCGGUUUUAUUGGGCGUAAAGGGUCGUGUAGGCGGCUUGGUAAGUUAACUUUUAAAUUUCGAUGCCCAACAUCGAAUCGGAGUUAAAACUGCCUUGCUUGAAUUUUCUUUAGGGAGAAUGGAACUCAAAGAGGAGUAGUGAAAUGCGUUGAUACUUUGGGGAACACCAAUGGCGAAGGCAAUUCUCUGGGAGAAAAUUGACGCUGAGACACGAAAGCUAGGGGAGCGAAGCAGAUUAGAGACCUGCGUAGUCCUAGCCCUAAACGAAUGUCUGCUACCUGCAUGUUCUGACCGCAAGGUUUGAACGUGUGGGAAAGGUAACCCGUUAAGCAGACCGCCUGGGGAGUACGACCGCAAGGUUAAAACUCAAAGGAAUCGGCGGGGAGGCACACAACCAGUGGAACAUGUGGUUCAAUUCGAUACGAACCGAAGAACCUCACCAAGGUUUGACAUACAAGCGUCCAGUCCCGAUGAAAAUCGGGAUGUUCGCAAGAAGGCUUGCACAGGUGCUGCAUGGCUGUCGUCAGCUCGUUCCGUGAGGAGUGCCCUUAAGUGGGACAACGAGCGCAACCCCCAUCUUGUGUUAUAUUUGUCACAAGAAACUGCCCCGACAUUCGUCGGGGAGGAAGGAGGGGCAGACGUCAAGUCAGCAUGGUCCUUAUACCUUGGGCUACACACAUGUUACAAUGAAGGAGACAGUGAGUCUUGCCACGUUGCAAAACGGAGUAAAUCUCUCUAAACUCAUUCUCAGUGGGGAUUGGGGUCGGAAACUCGACCCCAUGAACGCGGAAUUGGUAGUAAUCGUGGGUCAGUCAUACCACGGUGAAUACGUUCUUGCCUCUUGCACACACCGCCCGUCAAGCCAACAAAGUCGGGCAUAUCUGAAUCCCGCCUAGCGGGAGAGGAUACGUUCGGCGAUGGGGGUUAAGUCGUAACAAGGUAGCCG
rnacentral:rRNA from 1 species